rnacentral:rRNA from 1 species
GACGAACGCUGGCGGCGUGCUUAACACAUGCAAGUCGAACGGAAAGGCCCCUUUGGGGGUACUCGAGUGGCGAACGGGCGAGUAACAAGCGAGUAACCUGCCCUCGCCUUCCGGAUAACUUCAGGAAACUGGCGCUAAUACCGGCUAGGAAUCCUUGCCGCAUGGUGGGGGUUGGAAAGCUUCGGUGGUCUUGGAUGGACUCGCGGCUUAUCAGCUUGCUGGUGGGGUAGGGGCUUACCAAGGAUUUGACGGGUAGCCGGCCUGAGAGGGCGACCGGCCACAUUGGGACUGGGGUACGGCCCAGACUCCUACGGGGGGCAGCAGGGGGGAAUAUUGCACAAUGGGCGGGAGGCUGAUGCAGCAACGCCGCGGGCGGGAUGACGGCCUUCGGGUUGUAAACCGCUUUCAGCAGGGGCGAAGCUUGUGGUGACGGUACCUGCAGAAGAAGCACCGGCUAACUACGUG